rnacentral:rRNA from 1 species
GACGAACGCUGGCGGCGUGCUUAACACAUGCAAGUCGAACGGUAAGGCCCUUCGGGGUACACGAGUGGCGAACGGGUGAGUAACACGUGGGUGAUCUGCCCUGCACUUCGGGAUAAGCCUGGGAAACUGGGUCUAAUACCGGAUAGGACUCCGGACUGCAUGGUCUGGGGUGGAAAGCUUUUGCGGUGUGGGAUGGGCCCGCGGCCUAUCAGCUUGUUGGUGGGGUGAUGGCCUACCAAGGCGACGACGGGUAGCCGGCCUGAGAGGGUGAACGGCCACGCUGGGGCUGGGAUACGGGCCAGACGCCUACGGGAGGCAGCAGUGGGGAAUAUUGCACAAUGGGGGCAAGCCGGCUGCAGCGACGCCGCGUGAGGGGUGACGGCCUUCGGGUUGUAAACCUCUUUCAGCACAGACGAAGCGCAAGUGACGGUAUGUGCAGAAGAAGGACCGGCCAACUACGUGCCAGCAGCCGCAGUAA